rnacentral:rRNA from 1 species
AUUGAACGCUGGCGGCAGGCCUAACACAUGCAAGUCGAGCGAGCGGCGGACGGGUGAGUAAUGUAUGGGGACUGCCCGAUAGAGGGGGAUAACUACUGGAAACGGUAGCUAAUACCGCAUACUAUCGGAAAACCCAUAGGGGAUUAGCUAGUAGGUGAGGUAAUGGCCCACCUAGGCGACGACCCCUAGAUGGUCUGAGAGGAUGGUCAGGCACACAGGAACUGAGACACGGCCCCGAAUCCUACGGAGGAAGCAGUGGGGAAUAUUGCACAAGGGGCGCAAGCCUGAUGCAGCCAUGCCGCGUGUAUGAAGAAGGCCCUAGGGUUGUAAAGUACUUUCAGUCGGGAGGCGUUACCGACAGAAGAAGCACCGGCUAACGCCGUGCCAGCAGCCGCGGUAAUUC